rnacentral:SRP_RNA from 1 species
UGUCGUGUCGCGGCCUGACCGGUGAUCAGCUGUCCAUCCCAAGGUGCCACUAAGGUCGGGUGGGAAGGCGGAAGUCAUCACAUCCGAUCAUCUGAAGGCGCGGGUACUGGCCAAGGCUGGGAACAGAGCAGGCAAUACCGCACGAUGGGACCAGUGAGGGUGGAGAGCGGCUGAGAGGUCGGUAGCCAACACAACA